rnacentral:rRNA from 1 species
GAUGAACGCUGGCGGCGUGCCUAAUACAUGCAAGUCGAGCGAACAGACGAGGAGCUUGCUCCUCUGACGUUAGCGGCGGACGGGUGAGUAACACGUGGAUAACCUACCUAUAAGACUGGGAUAACUUCGGGAAACCGGAGCUAAUACCGGAUAAUAUAUUGAACCGCAUGGUUCAAUAGUGAAAGACGGUUUUGCUGUCACUUAUAGAUGGAUCCGCGCCGCAUUAGCUAGUUGGUAAGGUAACGGCUUACCAAGGCGACGAUGCGUAGCCGACCUGAGAGGGUGAUCGGCCACACUGGAACUGAGACACGGUCCAGACUCCUACGGGAGGCAGCAGUAGGGAAUCUUCCGCAAUGGGCGAAAGCCUGACGGAGCAACGCCGCGUGAGUGAUGAAGGUCUUCGGGUCGUAAAACUCUGUUAUUAGGGAAGAACAAAUGUGUAAGUAACUAUGCACGUCUUGACGGUACCUAAUCAGAAAGCCACGGCUAACUACGUG